AGUCAGUUCAGGCAGACCCGAAACCGGGUGAUCUACCCAUGUCCAGGUUGAAGUUUCCGUAAAAGGAAAUGGAGGACCGAACGCACAUCCGUUGAAAAGGGUGGCGAUGAGGUGUGGGUAGGGGAGAAAUUCCAAUCGAACCCGGAGAUAGCUGGUUCUCCUCGAAAUAGCUUUAGGGCUAGCCUCGUAUUAGUUUAGCGGAGGUAGAGCACUGAAUUCUUAAGGGGGCGUCAAAGCUUACCAAGAGAUAUCAAACUCCGAAUGCCGCAUAAAUGAUGUACGGGAGUCAGACUGCACGAGAUAAGUUGGGUAGUCAAAAGGGAAAGAGCCCAGACCUACAGCUAAGGUCCCAAAGUGUGUGUUAAGUGGAAAAGGAUGUGGGAUUUCAAAGACAACUAGGAUGUUGGCUCAGAAGCAGCCACACAUUCAAAGAGUGCGUAAUAGCUCACUAGUCGAGAGGUCCUGCGCCGAAAAUGUCCGGGGCUGAAACACAACACCGAAGCUUAGGAAUUGACGUAAGUCAAUUGGUAGAGGAGCAUUCUUAACUGCGAAGAAGCGUUACCGUAAGGAGGCGUGGAGUGUUAAGAAGAGAGAAUGCCGGAAUGAGUAGCGAGAUGGAGGUGGGAAUCCUCCAGGCCGAAUAUCUAAGGUUUCCAGAGUAAAGCUGAUCUGCUCUGGGUAAGUCGGGGCCUAAGGCGAGGUCGAAAGACGUAGUCGAUGGACAACAGGUUGAAAUUCCUGUACCGCGUAUUAUCAGAACUGUGGGGACACAGAACCGAAGCCAAACCCGGGAAUGAAAAGACCGGGGCAAGCGCCGGACUGGUUAGACUGGAAAAUCCGUCUAGCAACAGGAAAGCGUGACGCGUACCGAACAAAAGUAGGGAAGUUGGUAUAGGGGCUGUCAAGAAAAGCCGCUAUUGUGUAAUACGUGCCCGUACCGUAAACCGACACAGGUGGAUGAGGAGAGAAUCCUAAGGCCGGCGGGAGAAGCAUUGUUAAGGAACUCGGCAAAAUGGCUCCGUAACUUCGGGAUAAGGAGCGCCCACGAGAGUGGGCCGCAGAGAAUAGGCUCAAGCAACUGUUUAGCAAAAACACAGGUCUAUGCAAAACCGAAAGGUGAGGUAUAUGGGCUGACGCCUGCCCGGUGCUGGAAGGUUAAGAGGAGAGGUUAGAGCAAUCGAAGCUUUGAAUUUAAGCCCCAGUAAACGGCGGCCGUAACUAUAACGGUCCUAAGGUAGCGAAAUUCCUUGUCGGGUAAGUUCCGACCCGCACGAAAGGCGUAAUGAUUUGAGCGCUGUCUCGACAAUGCACCCGGUGAAAUUGAAGUACCAGUGAAGAUGCUGGUUACCUGCGCCAGGACGGAAAGACCCCAUGGAGCUUUACUCCAGCUUGAUACUGGGAUUCGGUGUCGCAUGUACAGGAUAGGUGGGAGGCAGUGAAGGUAGGACGCCAGUCUUACCGGAGCCAUUGUUGGGAUACCACCCUUGCGAUAUUGGGUUUCUAACCUGCGGCCAUGACCUGGCCGGGGGACAAUGUCAGGUGGGGAGUUUGACUGGGGCGGUCGCCUCCGAAAGUGUAUCGGAGGCGCUCAAAGGUUCCCUCAGAAUGGUUGGAAACCAUUCGAAGAGUGCAAAGGCAUAAGGGAGCUUGACUGCGAGACUGACGGGUCGAGCAGGUACGAAAGUAGGACUUAGUGAUCCGGUGGUAUAAAGUGGGAUUGCCAUCGCUCAACGGAUAAAAGCUACCCUGGGGAUAACAGGCUUAUCACUCCCAAGAGUUCACAUCGACGGAGUGGUUUGGCACCUCGAUGUCGGCUCAUCGCAUCCUGGGGCUGAAGUAGGUCCCAAGGGUUGGGCUGUUCGCCCAUUAAAGCGGUACGCGAGCUGGGUUCAGAACGUCGUGAGACAGUUCGGUCCCUAUCCGGCGUGGGCGUAGGAUAUUUGAGAGGAGCUGUCCUUAGUACGAGAGGACCGGGAUGGACUGACCUCUGGUGUACCGGUUGGGUAUCAAACCCAUGGCCGGGUAGCCAAGUCGGGAAGGGAUAAACGCUGAAGGCAUCUAAGCGUGAAGCCCCCCUCAAGAUGAGAUAUCCCAUCGCAAGAGUAAGACCCCUUGAAGACGACGAGGUAGAUAGGGCAGAGGUGGAAGCAUGGCAACAUG
rnacentral:rRNA from 1 species